UUGGCUGGGAUGGGGAAAAAUCACCAUUGCCCUUCUGUCAUCCCAGAAUUUUCAGGAAUAUAUAAGCUCUUCAUAUACCUGGAUGGCCCUCAGUGAUCCUGAAGGAGUCUGGAAAUAGAUGGCACAGAUGAGACCAACCUGGAGUACUAGAAGCAAGGCCAGCCAUAUGACUUGCGUGGGCUGAGUGAAGCUUCGAGAUUUUGCCUCCAAUAGCCUGCAUCUGUACCUCCUGUUUGGACGAUUGCCCUCAAACUUGGAACCACCUCAUCUGCAGGUGCAGAGAGCCAGAAGAAACUGAGUUUGUCUCCCUGGGGGCAGUCCUUAGCCAAUGACUGUCCCUACCUGAGGCAAAGGAGCUGGGUUUUCAGAUCUCUGCACCCAUAAAACUUAGACCUAGCUUUUGCCCCAGAGUUCCCCUAUAGGAUCAGGCUGCAGCCUGCCCUCGGUGGGACUUUGCCUGAACCAUAUACCUGCUUUGAUUUAUUCCCUUUCUCUCUCCUGCUUUCCAGACUCCCUCAUUAUCCUCCUUGGAAUUUUUCCUUAAUAAACCAUUCAUCUCAGGGUCAGUUUCUGGGGAAGAUCCAAAGUAUAUAUUACAUUUCUCCCUCAAUAAAUAGCAACUUAUAGCCUAUCAACAUUAAAGAACAAAACAAACUGCAUGCUACUCUGCAUUAAACACCUCACUAUAGAUUUUAAAAGUAGGUUUUUCCUAAACUCCUAUCUAAUUUGCAGAAGAUCUUAGGUACUACACAGGAAUUUGGGACCAAAGAAAACCAGCAUGGAGGAGAAAAUUCCUUGAUUACUGGUCCAAUCAGAUUCUAGCAGGAAAGAUAGGGUACAUUUCAUGGAUUUAACUAAAGAGUAGUUAAUAAGGGGACUACUUAAGGAGGCAGAAGUAAAGUUAAGGGAACUAAGAAUAGUGAGGCACCAAAGGAACAUCAACAGAUUGAGCUGUUACUACUGCCUGGACCUGGAGGGGUAUGAGGUUGGCGGCGGCGGGGGGGGGGGGGGUAGUCGUUACUGGAACCCAGUACAAGCUGUAGACAUGGGAGAAAUGACACAAGAGUCAUGGUUUUUUGUAAAGAAACACAGCUGCUGCUAAAAAUGGCCUGUAAGGCAGGAAGCAUGAGGAAUCAACACUCCAACCUUGUGUUCCUCUCACCUUCUGAACUCCUGUGGGUGCCUUCUGUUGGCUGAGUCUAUUAAAGUCAGAAGACAAGUAUGGAAGACAAAUACAUAUUCCAAGGACCUGCUUGCUGCCCAGCUGCAGAGAGCCACACAUUCAAGAUCAUGUCUGACCGGAAGCAACCCACAGCCAGUGGCUAAGCAAGGUGGGUUAUAAAGGCCUAUCUGGGUCAUCCCAGAGGACACUAAAAUAGACAAGGCUUCAGAAGUCCCAGCCAAACUGGUCAAAAGCUGUUGGCCUGUGUUUCAACUUGGCUUCCCUCUGCUUUGUCCUGCUUCCUCCCCUCCCUUUCACAGGUGUUGAUACCAAGUAAAUAUCUUGCAUCCCAAAUCCCAUUUCCGUGUCUUCUCCAAGGGAAAUCAACCCAUGACAGCAAGGGGGAUGGAUGCUGCAAUCCAUAUAUAUCCACCUCCUGUGUACAGAGCAAGACAGAGAAUAGCUCUGGAGAUGUAAACACAGAAUAACCAAUAAAUAACGAAUAAGUUUAUACGUA